GGUAUAGACAUGGAGACACUUUUAGGACCUUCAGGCAUCUUACUAGAAGCUAAGGACUAGGUUCCCUGGUGGGAGCCUGGGUACCAGUGUCUGGCCUGAGUGGACUGUGGGAGCCAGUUGUGGGUGGAAAAGAGGGCAGAGGCCACUCUGAGAACAGGUAGCCACUGGACGAGGCUUGGGGGACUGAGCCCCAGGUGAGCAGCUCUCCUGAUUCUCCUGUUCAUACCUCUCCAUAGGGAGCGCAUCCCUCUGGCAAGCUGGUACGCAGGGCUGAGAAGAGGCUUAAAGAGGUGGUGCUCCAGGUGGAGGAGGAGCGGAGGGUGGCUGACCAGCUCCGGGACCAGCUGGAGAAGGGGAACCUUCGAGUGAAGCAGCUGAAGCGGCAGCUGGAGGAGGCCGAGGAGGAGGCGUCCCGGGCCCAGGCGGUCCGCCGGAGGCUGCAACACGAGCUGGAGGACGUCACAGAGGGCCUCCGAGUCCAUGAACCGGGAGCUGAACACUCUGAGAACCGGCUUCGACGCGGCCCCCUCACCUUCACCACCCGCUCAGUGCGCCAGGUCUUCCGACUGGAGGAGGGCGUGGUGUCCGACGAGGAGGCGGCGGCGGAGGAGGCGGAGCCAGGGUCUGGGCCACUGCCCGCGGAGCCCGAAGGGUCCCCUGCGGCCCCACCGCAGUGACCCUACCCUGCCCGCAGCCACCGGGCCCUCCCUCCCUGGCCCCCUUGGUGCCUGUCCCACGAACAACCCUCUGGCUUCUUGCACUUUGGAAAUGGUGCCACCCUCUGGCAUGACAGCACUUAUCAACCCCACGGGGGGGCGGGGGGUCCCCUGAGACUUCCCGUGAACCCCUAAACACAGAGGAGCGGGCAAGCAGGGAGGGGAAAGGACUGGGGUGCUCUCGCUUGGGAGAAAUUCGGGUGUAGUUGGCAAGCUGGGGUCCCAUCCAGCUCCAAAUCCUUCCUUCAGUUAUGAAUGAUCUAUAUUAGGAAGGGAGCACGGCUCCCCUGCCUUCCUCAGCCAGGGCUCCCCACGCCCCUUCCCCCUCCCUCUUCCUCCUCCCCCUCCCCCUUAAGUCUCCCCCUUCCCCCUCCCGCUCCCUCUUUCCCUCUCUCUCCGUGUCUUUCUCCACUUAGCCACUGACCCCGGAACUUCUGAGCAACAGCACCCUGAGCCCCAGGCCACCACCAGCCUUUGACCCUUGCAGAGGGGCAAGAUAAGGGACCUCACUCAUUCCCCCCUCCCCCCAUGCUCCCUUCUGGUUGCUCUUGUGUGGUCACAGUUCAGUUGGAGUUUCCAUGGGAGUUGGAGGAGGCCCCCCCCCAAUACCCUCCCAGACUCCAGACUCUGGCAGAAAUAAACUCCAACCCCGACU
rnacentral:lncRNA from 1 species